UACUGGAAAUCUGCCCAGACAGGUGGAGGGAUUUACUUCAAACCCCAAAGGACUCUGCACUGGGAGUCAGGGGAGGAACCUUGGUUUGAACCUUGACUCUGACACCUCCUACCCGGGUGCCUCUCGCUGAGACUCCGUGCCCUCAUCUGUAAAAUAGGGACAGUUCUCUGUACCUCACUUACAGCAGGGUUCUAGGGUCGAAACUCACAAAGCGCCCCCAGCGCCAGAGUGUGGUAUUGACUGAGCAUCUGUUACGCCUCUUGUGGGCAGCCCGGUACCAUGGACAGCGCACCAGGGACUGACUGAAUCCCUCAGGCAAGCGGCUUCCCUUCUCGGUCCCAGUCGUCUUUUCAGUAAAUUUCUUGCCGACGGCCACUGAGUGAGUUGGUGUCAGAGAGGAGACUCUAGCCAGUCCGGGGUCCUGGUUUCCAGGCCAAUGUUUCUUGGCAUCACUCUGCCCCUUGACUGGUUAGCUGGAGAGCGUCCAGAGGAGGAAGUGGUGGAUUCCCCCUCCCUGGAGGUCUCCAAGCUGAGGCUGGACAAAACUCUCGUCAGAUGUCUUUUGCCCUCCAGACCACCCAGGAUAGGCCAUAAAAUCAGGACCUGGGUCCCUGCUUGCUGAGAGAUCCUGCCCCUGGCCCCACUUCCUUG